rnacentral:lncRNA from 10 species
CUUGCCCCUCCUUUGCAAAAUAACCUGUUUUAACAGGUUAGUUGAUGAGGGAAUGCUUUAACAGGUUAGUUGGUGAGGGAAUGCAUUAACAGAUUAGUUGGUGAGGAAAUGCAUUAACAGGUUCGUUGGUAAGGGAAUGUUUGAAGUUUCAUUUGGGUAACCUGCAGAUGUAGGAUAAUAUAUGUAAUUAAAAGUUAGAAGCCUCCGUCUGAAUGCUGGUGAAGAAACCUAUAGUCAUAAUAUAUUGCGUUUUAUUUCUCAUUGGCUUAUCUCCUUUUUCUCUCCCAUGUUUUCUUCUUCCCUUUCUUUCUUAUUUCCUUUCUUUCCUUCUUUAUUUUCUUCCAUCUUUCUUUAUUUUACUUUUAACAUUUUAAAAUGACAUUUCUUAACAUCAUUUCUGCCUUUACUCCCUUGUAUUCCACAUGCCAUAUUCUUAGGCUGCUUUCUUCUUCCUCCUCUCCUUCCCUCCACCUUCCUCCUUCUCUUCUUUCUUCUCCUCCAGCUCUCCUCCUUCAUCUUCUUAUUCUCAGUAGUUGACUGUGUUUCUAGGUAUCUUAUUUUUUCAUUUGUUUAUCCAAGUUGGGUUUUGCUGAGCUUGUUGGAUCUGGUUUCAGUCUCUCACCUAGGCUGGAGUACAGUUGUGGCAUCAUAUCGCACUGCAGCCUGUACCUCCUGGGCUCAGGUAAUCCUCCUGCCUCAGCCUCCCAAGUAGCUGACCCUACAGGUGCAUGCCACCAUGCCCAGCUAAUUUUUUUUGAUUUUUAGUAGAGAUGAGGUCUGGCUAUGCUUCCCAGGCUGGUUUCAAACCCUUGAGCUCAA